GAGUGAUCCUGGCUCAGAACGAACGCUGGCGGCAUGCCUAACACAUGCAAGUCGAACGAGACCUUCGGGUCUAGUGGCGCACGGGUGCGUAACGCGUGGGAAUCUGCCCUUGGGUUUGGAAUAACAGUUAGAAAUGACUGCUAAUACCAAAUGAUGUCUUCGGACCAAAGAUUUAUCGCCCAGGGAUGAGCCCGCGUAGGAUUAGCUAGUUGGUGGGGUAAAGGCCUACCAAGGCGACGAUCCUUAGCUGGUCUGAGAGGAUGAUCAGCCACACUGGGACUGAGACACGGCCCAGACUCCUACGGGAGGCAGCAGUGGGGAAUAUUGGACAAUGGGCGCAAGCCUGAUCCAGCAAUGCCGCGUGAGUGAUGAAGGCCUUAGGGUUGUAAAGCUCUUUUUACCCGGGAAGAUAAUGACUGUACCGGGAGAAUAAGCCCCGGCUAACUCCGUGCCAGCAGCCGCUGUAAU
rnacentral:rRNA from 1 species